GACCUGAUGGCACAGCUGGUAGUGCAUCUGCUACAGAUAAUACAGUCGAGGGUCUUCAGCAGAAUACCCUUGUUCGACUCGGUGUCAGGUCA